AUUUUAUUAACGUUAUAACACACACAUAUUACCACACUUUACCGGGGUGCUUUAAUUAUUGAUUAAAGUCGGUUAGAGCGAAUAUGUGGAGGCAUAAC
rnacentral:sRNA from 1 species